GCUGCAGGCUUGGCCCCUGGGGCAGCAGCAGGGGAUAGGCAGGGGGUCAACAACCCCCACCGACAUCCCCUGUGAUUCCAGGCUGGUUUCCUGAGCGGAAACUGAGAGAACUUGGCUUCCUCCUUUGUACAACGAAAGCCCCUUCCGGGGUGGGUGUGGGGAAGUAGAUGAGACUGGGCACCCAGCACCCCUGCUCUGGUCUUGGUCACACAGCAUGUCCCCCACCAUCCCCCCCAAGGAAAGUGUUGCUCUUUUCCAAGUCUCCUCCUCCAGUUCGUGCAUCCUCUCUGGUGCUCUGGCUUUCGUCCUCCCUUACGCACCAACCCUCUUCUCUGGUCAGCACCAUGGCUAUUUGUACUUCCAGCUGGUGGAGACGGAGACGGAAGGGCUCACCCUCCUUGGUCGUGAAUAAUUGAGAGACUGAUGAUGAUCAAAUUGCUUAAUGCAAACUCUACAAGCAAACACCCCAGGGGUGAGUACCUUACGGUCCUUAGAGACAUCACACCCAGGGCGGACAUUCACAAGACACACGUUUCCUCUUCUGCUACAUCCCAGCUUAGACCGGCCAUCCCCAAAGGGCUCCUGUCUGCUUCUGGUCCACGGAGGGGAAAGCAGGAAAUUUUUGUUGUAAGAUGGAGGACCUGGGAGGAAUAGGAAUAUUUCAU